GGGAAAAGUUUUAUCCCGUGACUUUUAAUACUUAUAUUUUUUGCUUUGAAAAUGGAUCUUGUGUUGUUCUAUCUGCUUGUAUCACUUUUUGGGUCACAGCUUUCCAAUGCAAAAGUAUAUUCUGAAGAUGAUUUCUACAUCACCAACUCUACUAAUACCUAUAAUACUAUUCCGACCGACUGCAACUUGUUUGGUAACAAUUUUGACGAGGAUUAUCCAGUACAGAAGCUGAUAAUUAACAUCACAGCGAAUGGCACUUACUGGAUUGGUGCCAAAAUAGGUUUCAAACGAAAUAUAAAUCCUGUAGGAGUUCAACCGGGAUGCAAUGCAAACUACAAUGACAGUUUAGAUGAAUGUAAUAGACUUUGCAAAGGUCAAAAAUAUUUUAGCUACAAUG